CGUAGGCGGCUUUCUAAGUUGGAUGUGAAAACUCUGGGCUCAACCCAGAGCCUGCAUCCAAAACUGGAGAGCUAGGGUUCUGGAGGGGAAAGCGGAAUUCCUGGUGUAGCGGUGAAAUGCGUAGAUAUCAGGAGGAACACCGGUGGCGAAGGCGGCUUUCUGGACAGAUACCGACGCUGAGGCACGAAAGCUAGGAGAGCAAACG
rnacentral:rRNA from 1 species